rnacentral:rRNA from 1 species
AUUGAACGCUGGCGGCAUGCUUUACACAUGCAAGUCGAACGGUAACAGGCCUUCGGGUGCUGACGAGUGGCGAACGGGUGAGUAAUGCAUCGGAACGUGCCCAGAGGUGGGGGAUAACGCAGCGAAAGCUGUGCUAAUACCGCAUGUGAUCUGAGGAUGAAAGCGGGGGUCCAGGCAGCAAUGUUUGGCCUCGCGCCUUUGGAGCGGCCGAUGUCAGAUUAGGUAGUUGGUGGGGUAAAGGCCUACCAAGCCGACGAUCUGUAGCUGGUCUGAGAGGACGACCAGCCACACUGGGACUGAGACACGGCCCAGACUCCUACGGGAGGCAGCAGUGGGGAAUUUUGGACAAUGGGCGCAAGCCUGAUCCAGCAAUGCCGCGUGCGGGAAGAAGGCCUUCGGGUUGUAAACCGCUUUUGUACGGAACGAAAAGGCUCUGGCUAAUACCUGGGGCUGAUGACGGUACCGUAAGAAUAAGCACCGGCUAACUACGUG